rnacentral:rRNA from 1 species
GAACGUUACCAAACUGUUGCCUCGGCGGGAUCUCUGCCCCGGGUGCGUCGCAGCCCCGGACCAAGGCGCCCGCCGGAGGACCAACCAAAACUCUUAUUGUAUACCCCCUCGCGGGUUUUUUUAUAAUCUGAGCCUUCUCGGCGCCUCUCGUAGGCGUUUCGAAAAUGAAUCAAAACUUUCAACAACGGAUCUCUUGGUUCUGGCAUCGAUGAAGAACGCAGCGAAAUGCGAUAAGUAAUGUGAAUUGCAGAAUUCAGUGAAUCAUCGAAUCUUUGAACGCACAUUGCGCCCGCCAGUAUUCUGGCGGGCAUGCCUGUCCGAGCGUCAUUUCAACCCUCGAACCCCUCCGGGGGGUCGGCGUUGGGGAUCGGCCCUGCCUCUUGGCGGCGGCCGUCUCCGAAAUACAGUGGCGGUCUCGCCGCAGCCUCUCCUGCGCAGUAGUUUGCACACUCGCAUCGGGAGCGCGGCGCGUCCACAGCCGUUAAACACCCAACUUCUGAAAUGUUGACCUCGGAUCAGGUAGGAAUACCCGCUGAACUUAAGCAU